AAAUUAGAUUUUAAAACGGCAGUCAUGUUUUAGCAGAUGAUGUUUAUUCAAUCGAAAAAAAACUUCUCAGACUGCCUUUUUGCGACGCCCCACAGUCCAUCACACACACAAGAAAUGAAAAGAAAAGUUACAAAUCAAUAUUUGACCGUGUGCGCGUAGCACUGAGAUUUUGUGUUUGAAUCAUCAGGGUGGAACAGAUUAUCCUCGAAUGGCAACCUGGAUCGUUUUCAACCGCCCAGGCGAAUGGAUACUAGUCUAAACAUUGGAAUUCCGCCAUUUUAUCGCUCGUUUUUUCUUUUUGGAGGAUGAAGACAGUUCCCAUACAGGCACUGAUGUGACGACCGAGUCCGCCGCAACGGCAGCGAAUCGUUGGCGACAGUCGAGUCCUUUUCUGUUCCACCCCGAGGUAUAGAAUACUGUUCUGUUGUUGCUGUUGUUGUACUCCGGAUUUUGAAGCCCUCAUCAGAUCCAAUUCUUUGCUGCCACUUCAGAGGUUGCGGUUUCCACCGUAACGAUUUCUAAUUUAAGAUAAUCUGAAAAUUGAUUGAUUUGAGGUGAAUCCUUCGCCGCUGUUUAAUAGCCUUUAUCCAUUCGUGAAACUGAAGAGAGAUUGCGGAAAUUCAAGACGUAUCAAUAAAUUAUUUAGUUGUAGAUAAAUUACAAGUGCAUAUCUGGGCUCCCUUCUUUUCUGUGGCCCCGUUUCCCUAACUAACCACUAACCAACGCCCGCCGGUGGUCACUCGCCCGCUGUGAA